rnacentral:rRNA from 1 species
UACGUAGGGACCAAGCGUUGUUCGGAUUUACUGGGCGUAAAGGGCGCGUAGGCGGCUUGACAAGUCACUUGUGAAAUCUCCGGGCUUAACUCGGAACGGCCAAGUGAAACUGUCAUGCUAGAGUGCAGAAGGGGCAAUCGGAAUUCUUGGUGUAGCGGUGAAAUGCGUAGAUAUCAGGAGGAACACCUGUGGUGUAGACAGCUUACUGGACCAUUUCUGACGCUGAGACACGAAAGCGUGGGUAGCAAACAGG